GACGAACGCUGGCGGCGUGCUUAACACAUGCAAGUCGAACGGAACGGCCCUGCUUUUGUGGGGUGCUCGAGUGGAGAACGGGUGAGUAACACGUGAGUAACCUGCCACUGACUUUGGGAUAUCUUCAGGCAACUGGGGCUAAUCCCGGAUAGGAGCUACUGCUGCUUGGUGGGGGCUGGUAAGUUUCGGCGGUUGGGGAUGGACUCGCGGCUUAUCAGCUUGUUGGUUGGGUAGUGGGUUACCAAGGCUUGGACGGGUAGCCUGCCUGAGAGGGUGACCGGCCACAUUGGGACUGAGAUACGGCCCAGACUCCUACGGGAGGCAGCAGUGGGGAAGAGUGCACAAUGGGCUGAAGCCUGAUGCAGCAACGCCGCGUGCGGGAUGACGGCCUUCGGGUUGGAAACCGCUUUCGCCUGUGACGAAGCGUGAGUGACGGUAAUGGGUAAAGAAGCACCGGCUAACUACGUG
rnacentral:rRNA from 1 species